rnacentral:rRNA from 1 species
GAUGAACGCUAGCGACAGGCCUAAUACAUGCAAGUCAAGGGGAUAGCAAUAUCACCGGCGGAUGGGUGCGUAACGCGUACACAACGUGCCCAAGGGCGGAGGAAAGCGGCGGGAAACUGCCGGUAAUACUCCAUGGUGUUGUUGAGUGGCAUCACUUAACAACUAAAGUACAAGCGCCCUUGGAUCGGUGUGCGUUCGAUUAGCUAGUUGGCGGGGUAACGGCCCACCAAGGCUUCGAUCGAUAGGGGGUGUGAGAGCAUGACCCCCCCACACGGGUACUGAGACACGGACCCGACUCCUACGGGAGGCAGCAGUAAGGAAUAUUGGACAAUGGGCGGAAGCCUGAUCCAGCCAUGCCGCGUGAAGGACGAAGGCGCUCAGCGUUGUAAACUUCUUUUGGAUGGGAACAAUAACUCCGACUUGUCGGAACUUGAGGGUACCAUCAGAAUAAGCACCGGCUAACUCCGUGCCAGCAGCCGCGGUAAAGUCGAUAU